AAGAGAGAGACAUGCGCGCAUAUCAAUAAGCGGAGGAAAAGGAAACUAACUAAGGAUUCCCUCAGUAACGGCGAGUGAAGCGGGAAGAGCUCAAAUUUGAAAUCUUCAAGGUUUUACCUUGACGAAUUGUAGUUUAAAGAAGUGUUUUCUGCUGAAGUUUUGGUAAAAGUUCUUUGGAAUAGGACAUCAUAGAGGGUGAGAAUCCCGUAUUUGACCAUUAUUUUCAGCUUUGUGAUACACUUUCAAAGAGUCGGAUUGUUUGGGAAUGCAGUCCAAAAUGGGUGGUAAAUUUCAUCUAAAGCUAAAUAUUGGCGAGAGACCGAUAGCGAACAAGUACCGUGAGGGAAAGAUGAAAAGAACUUUGAAAAGAGAGUUAAACAGUACGUGAAAUUGUCAAAAGGGAAGCGUUUGACACCAGUGUUGUUUUCUCGAAAAUCAAUUAAAAAUGGCUCGAUUUUGUAUUGUUGAGACCUUAAAAGCUCACUGUACAUUUUUCGUGUCUUUUUUAAUGCACUUUUCGUUUAACAAGUCAACAUCAGUUUCUUUUGUUGUAAAAGGGUCAUUGGAAGGUGGCUUUCUUUUCGGAGAAAGUGUUUAUAGCCUUUGGCCUCUGCAAUCGGAAGAGACUGAGGUCUGCAGCGUAGACUCUUCGGGGUUAGAUACAUUUGUGCUAAGUUAUAGCCUUUUAUAGACAACUUGUUGACUAUGAUUAGUCAUUGUAGCUUACUCGCUUAUGCUAUUUUACCUACGCUUAGGAUGUUGAAGAUGUAGCACAUCAU
rnacentral:rRNA from 1 species